rnacentral:rRNA from 1 species
UACAGAGGGUGCGAGCGUUAAUCGGAAUUACUGGGCGUAAAGCGUGCGUAGACGGUUAUGUAAGUCAGGUGUGAAAGCCCCGGGCUCAGCCUGGGAAUUGCAUUUGAGACUGCAUAGCUAGGGUGCGGAAGAGGGAAGCGGAAUUUCCGGUGUAGCGGUGAAAUGCGUAGAUAUCGGAAGGAACAUCAGUGGCGAAAGCACUCUGCUGGGCCGACACUGACACUGAGGCACGAAAGCUAGGGGAGCAAACAGG